CCUGGAGGUACACACAGUGAUACUCUGUUAGGGCAGUGGAGGACAUCAAAGACAAUCUGGUUCCGUGGUUCCUUUAUUUCAACCAUGAUGUGCAGAAGAGAAAGUUCCCCCAGAGUCACAGAGCUACCAUCCCUGUCUCUUGUUUAUCAACCCUGGGCCAACUGUGGCGACGUUCUAUAGGAGGGAGCUGAGCUGAAGGGCCACCUCCUUUCUCAUGCACUCAUACUUUUAAAAAUUCAUUUAUUUAUUUAGAGACAGGGUCUUGCUUUGCAGUCAGGCUGGCCUCAAACUUGAGCUGACCCUCCUGCGUCAGCCUCCUGAGAGCUGGUAUUAUAUGUGUGUGCCACCAUGCCUAGCUACAUUGUAUUUUAAAUAAAUUAAAACAUUCUGCCAACCUUUCUACAGAUUAUAAAAUUAUCUGUGAGUAACCACAGCAUCUAUUAAAGUGGGUUUUGUAGAGCACUUCCUCCUUCCUUUUCAAUGCUCUGAAGGCUAAUUCCACAUCAUCUCUUGAGAAAAUCAGGACAGUGAGCUCAUCUUCCUGCGUCUGGUAUCUUUGAAACCUGGAAAAUACCUGCAGUACAUGUGCAGCCCAGGGUCACCAAGAAUCCCAGGAAAGAUGAGUUGCACCUGAUGGAGACCUCCACAGACAGAGAUAACCCUUUCCUGGAAAUGCAGCCAGCACUCAGUGAGAAUUCCAGAGCUCUGACACCGGGACUGAGAUAGAAGCAGCUGGAUCCCAGCUAACCAGGUGACCCUCUCAA
rnacentral:lncRNA from 1 species